GACGAACGCUGGCGGCGUGCUUAACACAUGCAAGUCGAACGGAAAGGCCCUGCUUUUGUGGGGUGCUCGAGUGGCGAACGGGUGAGUAACACGUGAGUAACCUGCCCUUGACUUUGGGAUAACUUCAGGAAACUGGGGCUAAUACCGGAUAGGAGCUCCUGCUGCAUGGGGGGGGUUGGAAAGUUUCGGCGGUUGGGGAUGGACUCGCGGCUUAUCAGCUUGUUGGUGGGGUAGUGGCUUACCAAGGCUUUGACGGGUAGCCGGCCUGAGAGGGUGACCGGCCACAUGGGGACUGAGAUACGGCCCAGACUCCUACGGGAGGCAGCAGUGGGGAAUAUUGCACAAUGGGCGGAAGCCUGAUGCAGCAACGCCGCGUGCGGGAUGACGGCCUUCGGGUUGUAAACCGCUUUCGCCUGUGACGAAGCGUGAGUGACGGUAAUGGGUAAAGAAGCACCGGCUAACUACGUG
rnacentral:rRNA from 1 species